rnacentral:lncRNA from 1 species
CAUUCAGAGCCCCUCGAGCAAGCUGCCACUCCUGCGGACGUGGGGGAAGAGUGCUGAAAAGAGGGUGGACAGACCUUGUUCCCCCAGCCCCUCCUCGACCUCGCAAUGGCUACCAGGCCCACCAACCCCUUGGGGGUGGUGGGGACAAAAGAAGAAAUAGCUGUAAUAUGGGGGAGGGAGUGGCGAAAGCUUCACACAUCCU